rfam:Brassica oleracea var. oleracea cultivar TO1000 chromosome C6, whole genome shotgun sequence
AUGUCCUCUUGAGUUCCCUUUAACGCUUCAUUGUUCAGACUUGGUUGUCUAAUAUCUACCGAUACAUCAACGUAAUGAACACUGAAGUGUUUGGGGGGACUCUAGGUGGCAU